GCGAAAGCGAGUCUGAAUAGGGCGUUGAGUCGCAUGCUGUAGACCCGAAGCCAAGUGAUCUAUCCAUGGCCAGGUUGAAGCGGAGGUAAGACUCCGUGGAGGACCGAACCCACGUAGGUUAAAAACUGCCGGGAUGAGCUGUGGAUAGGGGUGAAAGGCUAAUCAAACUUGGCAAUAGCUGGUUCUCCUCGAAAUGCAUUUAGGUGCAGCGUCGUGCGUUCAGUCUCGGAGGUAGAGCACUGAUUAGGUUAGGGGGCCCACAAGCUUACCGACCCUAGUCAAACUCCGAAUGCCGAGACUCCAGAGCACGGCAGUGAGACCACGAGGGAUGAGCUUCGUUGGUCGAAAGGGAAACAGCCCAGAUCAUCAGCUAAGGCCCCUAAUUCUGUACUAAGUGGUAAACGAUGUGGGAUUGCAUAGACAGCCAGGAGGUUG
rnacentral:rRNA from 1 species